rnacentral:rRNA from 1 species
GACGAACGCUGGCGGCGUGCUUAACACAUGCCAGUCGAACGGAAAGGCCCUGCUUUUGUGGGGUGCUCGAGUGGCGAACGGGUGAGUAACACGUGAGUAACCUGCCCUUGACUUUGGGAUAACUUCAGGAAACUGGGGCUAAUACCGGAUAGGAGCUCCUGCUGCAUGGUGGGGGUUGGAAAGUUUCGGCGGUUGGGGACGGACUCGCGGCUUAUCAGCUUGUUGGUGGGGUAGUGGCUUACCAAGGCUUUGACGGGUAGCCGGCCUGAGAGGGUGACCGGCCACAUUGGGACUGAGAUACGGCCCAGACUCCUACGGGAGGCAGCAGUGGGGAAUAUUGCACAAUGGGCGGAAGCCUGAUGCAGCAACGCCGCGUGCGGGAUGACGGCCUUCGGGUUGUAAACCGCUUCCGCCUGUGACGAAGCGUGAGUGACGGUAAUGGGUAAAGAAGCACCGGCUAACUACGUG